UACGAAGGGAGCUAGCGUUGCUCGGAAUUACUGGGCGUAAAGUGCACGUAGGCGGGCUGUUAAGUCAGGGGUGAAAUCCCGGGGCUCAACCUCGGAAUUGCCUCUGAUACUGGCAGCCUUGAGUUCGGGAGAGGUUGGUGGAAUUCCUAGUGUAGAGGUGAAAUUCGUAGAUAUUAGGAAGACCACCAGUGGCGACGGCGGCCAACUGGACCGACACUGACGCUGAGGUGCGAAAGCGUGGGGAGCAAACAGG
rnacentral:rRNA from 1 species